AGGGUUUACUUGUAAUGGAAGUUUCCUUAUUUCUGAAGUGUGUUACCAAGGACCACGAUGGAUGAGGACCCGUCAAACUCGGAGACUGUAAACAUCUCCAGGAGCAUUUUCUCAGUGACCAGAUGUUACACAGCUGCAUUGCAAAUUGUCGUCAGAGCUCAAAAGACAAGGGAAGAGAGGAUUGUUGGAACCACGAAGGCAUAUGACACAGUAAACGGUGCAUUUAAUUUCGACUUAAUGGGAGAGAUAGCGUGCAUUAGACAAAUACCAUCUGAUCAUUAAAAACAUAUUUAUGGAAGUAUAGCAACUUUGUCAGGGAUGUGUGACUAAUCACACCGAGCUGUGAGUCCUCAAAAACAUAUUUGUCUUAAUCGACUGGUGUUUAGUUUGGAUUAUUGACUGUUAAAUCAAAAUAGAAGUUUUCACUUGAGAUUUUGCAUUUCAUUUGUGACUGAUUCGUCUUCAUCAGAUACCCG
rnacentral:lncRNA from 1 species